AUUGAACGCUGGCGGCAGGCUUAACACAUGCAAGUCGAACGAGUGGCGGACGGGUGAGUAAUGCUUGGGAACCUAGCUUAUGGAGGGGGAUAACUACGGGAAACUGUAGCUAAUACCGCGUACCAUAGGAUGAGCCCAAGUGGGAUUUGGUAGUUGGUGAGGUAAAGGCCCACCAAGCCGACGAUCUCUAGCUGGUAGGAGAGGAUGACCAGACACCCUGGGGCUGAGAGACGGCCCAGGCUCCUACGGGAGGCAGCAGUGGGGAAUAUUGCGCAAUGGGGACAACCUGAAGCAGCCAAGCCGCGUGAAUGAAGAAGGCCUUCGGGUUGUAAAGUUCUUUCGGUAGCGAGGCGUUAUCUACAGAAGAAGCACCGGCUAACUCCGUGCCAGCAGCCGCGGUAAUUC
rnacentral:rRNA from 1 species